rnacentral:lncRNA from 1 species
AUUUUUAUGGUUUACUUGCAAAAUAAUCAUAAUAAAGCUUCAAACCUCAAAGUGGCGUAGCAUUUGAGACCCCAACCCAUAUUCGACAAUUGUGCCAAAAGAAAAGUCCCUAGUUGUUUAAAUUUCAGAUUUUCCCAAACCACGAGGAUGGUAAAUUACAGUGAAACCAGAUUUGAAUUUUUCACACAUUAAACAAAAAUUUAAGGCUUUAAGAGCUUCUAAAAAGUGGUAGAAUCAACAGAAGCAGGUCUACAUCAUCAUUCAUGACAAAACCCAAAAUCGC